GUCAUCAGCUGUUAUGAGAAAAGACAGGUUCCUAAAUUCAGACCUUGAAGGAGAAAAUCGUUUUACUUCACCUUUAGUAAAGAUUUCAUUUGUAAAUGUUCCUGUCAAUUGAAACAUACCAAAGAAGACAGUGACUGAACAUUGCAGCAGAGCAAUGUGGCAGAGGGAAAUUAAGCAGUGGCAGAGACUGGAGAUGCUGGGAUUUGCCAUCUGUGUAGACAUGAAUCCUUUCAAGAUCAUAAAUCGCUCUCACAAUUCCAUCAUUGGGUAAAGGUCACCUACCUUUAUGUAUUCAACCCAGCCCUCAUUCCAUUUAGAAAACUGGAGCUCAAUCACAAAAUGAAUGAGGAUGUCUUGGAAUAUGACUAAAUUAGAUUUCACAAAGGAAAGUGGAUAUAAAGUCAUAAAAUCUACAGAGAGAGAGAAAGGUUAAAGGCAGCUAUCCAAGAUCAACUUGAGCUUACAAGAGAUUUUUGUUCUUAACUGUCCCUGCAUUUCUGUUCCCACUGAAGAACUUGAGGCAGAGAAAGAAGCCCACCGGGCAACAGGUGAGGGGCACAACAGGACCCUCCAAAAGACAUAAAUGUUGACCUCAUUUUCAACAAAAAGAGCCUUAUCCUCUUGAGAUCUCAAGAAUACUUCUCUGGUCCCCCCUCACCCCCUUUUAAAAACAUACAUAGUCACAGUCAUUUCUUUAGGCUGUUGUAGCUUACAGAAUUUGGGGGAAUCUUCCAUAAAUCUGAAGGUGGAGCUGUAUUUUGCUUGCUUUGUUUCCCUAUUGACUAAGUUACUAGGUGACACUGGGCAAAUCCUUCAUAUUUCCCAUAAAUCAGUGUCUUCAUCUCCACUAAUACAUCUUGGGAACCAGGAACAUGGUCAGCUCUACUUGCAGAUAGUGACAAAGAGCAUAAUAAUUUAUAGCAAAAGAGGAAGUGUACUUUUUAUUUUAUUAUCAAUAAUAUACCUUUAAGUAUCUUUAAGAAAUUGGGAUUUGUCUAAAUCUAGGUUGGUUGCUUUUUGUUUUUGUCUUCAUCUUGUGAGUUAACACACCGUCAGAACUGAACUGAACUGAACUGAGAAAAGUUGUUCUAGAUCAAUUUUGCAGGCAAUGCUCCUACUUCAUGUUCAGUCCUCCUCUGUUCCCUGCUGACAUGACCUCAAGAUUUCCACAGGGACACCUGGAAGCCGAAGUCAUAAAUUUGGGAAGUAUGUCAUUUUGUUUCUAUGUAGAUCUCUCAGUAGCCACCUGUACCAAUGUUCCUUUGGCCAAAUUUAAUUUACAAGGUGAACCAAACAGUCAGCUGUACUAGUAGAUGUGUGCUAUCCCCGGGGGACAAGACAUCAUUCUGUCCUUGUUGAAUUGAAUCUUGGGUUUUCCAGUUUUUUCGUAUGUGAUUUUGUUAGUUUAUUUUUAGAUUGUACGGUUUAGGGAAAAACACACACACACACACACACACACACACACACACACACACACACACACAAGGGUACCUGAGGCUAUUUUUAAAGAACUAUCACUAUAGAAUUAAUUUUAAAGGGAAAAAUAAGGAUGAGAGGAAAGGCAAUAAAUAGAAUGUCUUGAUCCCCUGGGAUAGCUCUGUCUUAACUACAGUAGAGAAAGCCAGUGAAGGCAAGAAUGGUUGUGAACUAGAGGAAAAUGAACCUUUCCUGUGACAUCUCGGGUAGUUGGAGCCCAGUGUGACAGAAGAAAGUAACAUCAGUUGAAAUACUCAAAGUAGUGUUGUUUCCCAUGAAAUUUUAAUUGAAGUCCCCACUCUACUUACGUGGAAGCCUAUCAGGGCUAUUCAGCUAUAACCACCAGAAGGAAAUUUCUCAUUUUUAUACUCAAAGCUGGUUUACAUAGCUGUGACUGCAUGUUUAUUUCAUGCAACUUCUGAUCCCGUGUGAGGUGUGUAAAUGCUAAAGACUUUGCAUACGAUGCUUUGUGCGUGGUUGAUGGUGAGGGGUCAUCACUCAGUACGAGACCCCAUUUCGGACAGAGAACAAUGGCUAGCACUCAGGAGGGAAGAGCAAUUACUUGCUCUUACAUCAGGACGGUCAGGAAAGGAUAGUACCAAGUCCCGUGCAACAGUCAGAAAAACUAUUUUGGAGUUAAGAACAAAAGGCAAUGAGUAAGAGUGCAGGUUAGCUCCGGGCUGGGGUAAUAGAGUCACUUCUAAGGGUGAAAGGUAAUAGGGGAGGAAUUGGUAAAUGCAAACUUGCCUGACUUUAAAAUUUAGCCUCCGGGUGGCUUGAGUGAAAAGAUUCUUUGAGAUAAUUAUGAACUUUGGGCAUUCAAAGUCUAAGUACAGUAUUUAUUAUAUUCCUGUUUUAAAAAAAAACUAUGCACUGAAUAUUUGAAAUAGACUUUAAGAUACACUAAAUUUAUUUUAAAGUAUAUUGAAAUGUUGAAUGAAAAACAUCUCUAAAUUGUACAUUCAUUGACUCUUCUUAUUUCAUAUUUCAUUCCAUAUUUAUGUGCUCUAAAGGUUUGAAUUCAAAUAUUAUAUGUACAUCUACUAGUACAGCUGACUGUUUCAUAAAUAUUUAAUUAAUCCCACAUCUAUUUACUUUCAUAAAACAUAAUGUAAGAAGAUGAAAGGUACCGAUUACUGAAUAUAUUAACAGGGCUGAGCAACCAGUCACUUUAUAUUAAUUCAAAUCCCUGGCCAACAUCAGAACUCCUCACUUCUGUCCACAUGGACCACAUGGUAGCCUUUGCAGUGAUGAAAUUCACACACGAGUAUUACAGAUCACUUUGAGCAAGGCUGCACGGUGGCUCCUUCAGAGAACAUCACAAUCAGAACGUACUUAGUCCCAGAUCUCAAGAUAAUUAGAAUGCCCAGAGAUUUAGAACUGUCAGGCUAACCAAAGUGGAAUUGGGAGAAACCCAGAAUUUAUCCAUCUCCUUCUCUAUUUAAAACUAAAUGUUUAAUGACUAAUAUUUUGAGCAUUUGGCUAACUUUUCACUGAGUAAUUUGGUUAAAAUUUCCCUUUGCAGAACCCCCCCCAUCUCCUUUUCAACUACAAGCUCCUUAAUUUACACCCUGAUAACUUCAAGCCUGUAUUACUUCACAACAUGAUUCCUGCCUGAGCCUAUUUUUCAGUGUUCAGUCUUCUCUUAUAUCAGGCUAUCUUAAAAACCACUUCCAACUGAAAGUCUCGUUUGUUAAAAAAAAAAAAAAAGGAAAAAAUUGAGUAUUAUUACCUGUUGAAAAAAAUGGUAGAAUAUAGAAAAGAAUAAUAAAAAAGAUAUAAUCACCCCAAAUUUCACAGUAGGGAAAACCACAGUUAAUAUUUGGUUGGUUUCUGUUCAAACUUCUCUAAGAGUAAAUCAACAUUGAGAGAGAGAUUUGACAAAAUUGAGAUUGAUUUGAAUAUACUGCAGUCUGAUUUGUCUUAAUUUAGCAAUACUUGAAAUGCAUUUUUCAUGUGUUUACUAUCAUUUAAGAUAACUUUUCAUGGCUUUGAAUUAUCCCAGUAUAUGGCUGUACCUAAGUUACUUAAGUAGUUUAAUUAUUUAGACAUAGAAAUCAUUUUCAGUUUUUCACUAUUAUAAAGAACACAGCAAUAAUCGUAUAGGUACUUAAAUUUCUAAUCUUUUUUUAAGUAAGUUCUCUGAAGUGAACUAUUAGGUCUAAGGUUGGGAACUUUUUUUUUUUAAGUUUUUAUCUAAUGGUUGCAUUUCCUCACCAAUGUUCCUUCAUGUUUCUCUUAGAUAAUUUUUCUCACAGUUGCUAUUCAGCAUAGAUGGAAUACUGCCUGGUUUCUAAACUGGAUUGCUUCUGAAUAAGAAGACCACAGUCUCUACCUUUGGUAACAUCUCUAAUUACAUUCGCAACAUGCUAAUCUCACAUAAACAUUGUUCAGUUAAUAACUUUUUCUCCUAAUAGUGCUUGCAAAGCUCUACUGUUUUUCAGACAAUUCCCUUUCUUUUUUUAAAUAAGGAAUUUGUCCCAAAGUAAAUAUGCUGGAAGAAGAAAUAUUUUAACACAGUUCUUUCAGAGAUAAUUUAGUUGAUGUAACAGGUUGUGGUCUGAGAAUGUUGCAUGGAACAAAUUUAAGUUAUGCCCCAUGUUUGGAUGAGCCCAAAGACCGGUGUUUUACUGGGAGUUCCUGUGUCCAAAAACUGGAUCAGGGUAAGUUAUAUGCCUGUUUGACCCUUGUGCAUCAAGGCUACUUCCUCAUGUUUUGACGAGCUCUCAUUUUUGAACUUUAAUUGCCUUUAAGGGGUUGCUCUGAACUAUUUUUGUAAGCACAGUUGGCAUGCAAGAUGACUGUAGGAUCAAAGGGUUGAAAAUCUGGUGAAGAGAUAACGUAGAAAAGAAAGUUUCCAUAGCAACACCUUCACAGCCCUCUGGCACCAUUCACCGCUACCCAGCAGGUCUCUGCCUCCUACGGAAAGAGAAAGAAAGGAAGGUUUGCACGUUUGCCAUUGCCUGUUGGGAUUCAAAAAUGUCUUUGGAAUAACAGCUGGUUAAGAGAGCUGAGAGUUGGCGUGGCCUCUUCUUUGGCCUUGAAUGAUCACCAUGGGGUGUUUUUCUCCGACUCUCCUAAAGGACUGAAGAACCAGACGGGGACUAAUGCCUUCAGGCACAGAACAGUUAGAACAUUCAUUAGGUAAGUUCCCCACUCGUAGGGCCACCAUGAUGGCCUUACAUUUGUUAGCUUGUUACAACUGGUAGUCUGUCUAGGGGACUUGGAGAAGCACGGGGUCUCUGGUAGAGGAACCAAAGAGUUCACAUUCAAAUGCUUGACUGACAGUUGACAGACACUAAUGACUGAAUUGAGCUUAGUUGAAAGUUAUGUAGGAGUAACAAUGCCUUUCUUAAAUAAUUUGCUAACAUGUGUUAAGGGCCUAUCAGGUGAACAGAAUAGGAUGAAUCCUACUUCUUCGUUCAUGACAGAUUUUUAUGGGGCCAGGC